UUUGCCGCCAAGCUACUAUUGGUUGGCUGGAGUUGGGCUGGAUCCGCCGCCAUCUUGUUUAGCACAUUUAGGCCCCCCAUCCACUUACAGUUCGAACUGCAGUUCUUGACUGCAGUCAGAACUGUGAACGGUGGACUGUUGAAAAAUGUUCACAUCAGUACGGAUUGCAAUCAUGGACCACAGGCCGUUUGGUGGCAUGUUAGUCGUGGUCAGUCUUUCCGGUGUUUUGCCUUAGGUGUGUACUUUGUAAUUUCGUUUUGUGGCUGUAGGAAAAGUGCAUUUUAAGUUCUUAUCGUAUGUGAAGUUAAAGUGCAGUGUCUACGUUUGAAGAUUUGGCAGCAUACGCUGUAAUAGCGGUAGCUAUUGGAAAAAGAAAGAAACAAAGGCAUCAAAUGUGGAAAAAAGAAUGGCUUCAGAGGAGGAGAUUUGACCACAUUCACCUUCUUAGGGAGCUUGAAGCAUAUCUAGAGACUGGAAAAAUUACUUAAGAAUGGACGAGAAAACGUACUUUGAUUUAUUAUGUAUAGUAACACCAUUGAUUACUAAACAAGAUACAAAAAUGAGAGAAGCCAUUACACCACAUGAAAAACUGACUGUGACAUUACGGUAUCUAAGCACUGGCAGAACAAUGGAAGAUUUAAAAUUCACAACGAGAAUUUCCCCCAAACAUUAGGAAGAAUAAUUCCAGAGACCUGCUCAGCUAUUGCCAAGGCCUCGAAUGACUAUUGCAAGGUACCGAAUACAGCCGAGGAGUGGAAACAAAUUGAACAGGAGUAUGGGGAAAGAUGGGACUUCCCCAACUGCCUAGGCAGCAUGGAUGGAAAGCAUAUAGCCAUAACACCACCACCUGGAAGUGGUUCUUACUUCUAUAACUAUAAGGGUUUUCAUAGUCAGGUACUUUUCUGCAUUGCUAGUGCAAACUAUGAAAUAAUUUAUUUUCAUUUCGGUGUUAAUGGCCGGGUAUCUGAUGGAUGAGUUCUGAAAGAGACAGACUUCAACAAGAAACUAACAGAUAAAAGUCUCAAUUUACCUGAAGAGGGCAUUGUAGAUGGUGAAACUCCUCCAUACGUAUUCAUUGCAGAUGACGCCUUCCCCCUAACUGAGGUCAUAAUGAAACCCUUUUCCUUUAGGGUUGCAAACAAACCUAGAAAGGUAUAUAACUACUGACUCUCAAGAGCACGUCGAAUGGUCAAAAGUGUUUUUGGGAUUCUCGCUGAGAGAUCACCUUCAUUGACUUGAAGAAAGUGAAUAGUGUUGUUGUUGUGUGCUGCAGCUACCUGCACAACUAUUUGUGUAGGUCAAUCCCUCAAAGGUACUCACCUAACAACUGGUUGGAUUUAGAUGACAACGAAGUUGGUGUGUCUAUGCCUGGACCAAGAACCAGCGAUCACAUGGCAUUACAAGUAAGACAAACCGAUCAUCCAAUGACUAGUGCAAAAGAAGUAAGAAAUAAAUUUGUUCAUUGUUUUAACAACAAAGGAAAAGUGGAAUGGUAAGACAGAUACAUCUCUUAUAAUGUUUAAGUUUAUAAUGAUUAAUUGAAAACAAAAAACCUCCAAUGACAAACUGUAAGUUAGUUGUAGCAUUGUGAAUAUAUUAUUUAACCACAAAA